rnacentral:lncRNA from 1 species
GUGUAGAGCUGCCGAUGGGGUCGCUGCCGCCGGGGCAGGCGGGGCUAGUGCCGAAGGGGGUGCCCGCCCGUUGUGAACCGGGCUGUGGCGGUUGUCAUUGAAGGUGACGUCGCUGCUCACGGUCACCUUGCCCUCAAUGAGGAUGCUGUGGGCGGCCGUGCCGUGCUCCGGUCGGCGGUAGGUUUCCGCCUUUGCACGAGGACCGAGUUUGUCCUGCUGGCUGGGUGGGAUAGGCCAGGCAGCUGAAGGUGUGGAGGUGGCUGACGUCGGGGGGGAUGCUGUGAUAAGCUGCCCACGGCGUGGCCUCCCGGACCUGAGAGGGGGAAACAUUGCGGUUGGUGUAGAGCACAGCCUCCGGCCUGUAGCUGCCCGGGAGUGCUGCGUCGUGCAGCAUCGUCCGCACACGGCCGAGGAGCAUGUGGUUGAGUCACUCCACCGCUCCGUUCUGCUCCGG